rnacentral:lncRNA from 1 species
UUUUUUUUUUUUUUGAGGGGGACAUGGUGGGUCUCGUGCCAUAGGUCCCGUGCGUGCCGGCUCGCCACGCGGCCCGCAGGAGGGCCGUGGCCCCUGGGGGUGCGGGUGGUGGAAGGAGGAAGAAAGAAGAGGGGGCUGGGCGGGUUGGAGGCUUGUAGCCUUGAGUUGGAGGCGAGUGGUCACGUGGUGAAGAACGCAGGCAGGCAGCGAUCACUGGCCUGUCUGUCUGGCCAGGCCACCGGCUAGUGUCCAGGCCAGGCCUCUGCUUUUCACUUUUUCUCAUGCCUGCUUGAUCUGGUUCUGGUCCGUUGACCGUCGUGCAGUCUCGUGCUCUCGCGCCGUGGUGGCUUUGGACACGGUUAAAAUGCCAGCAGUUUACAUUAACCGCCGUAAAAACCUUGCAUUGUUUACUGUGCAUAUUGUAAUCCUUAGAAAAGAAUGCAACUCUAUAUGAACGCAACUCUACGGGAAGUCAACCAAUUUUAAAUUUGAUCAAAUUUAUACAAAAUAAAAUUUGAUCAAAUUUAUACAAAAUAGUAUUAAUAUUUAUGGUACAAAAUAUAUAUUAAUAAAUUAAUUAUGUAUUAUAUUCUCAUCCUAAACCUAUUUGGAGAACCUAUUUGGAGAAGUGAAUAUUAGUAUUUUUUAUAAAUUUGAUCAAUUGACUCCUCGAGAAGUUAGAGUUGCAUUCUUUUUUAGACGGAGGGAGUAGAAGUCAAAAGGCCACGCGAACAAUUAGCCCUUGUUUACUUCCCAAGUUGGGAGGUGCUAAAUUGGCAUUUUGCCAUAAAUGCGACACUGUAGCGUUUCGUUUGUAUUUGUGAAUUAUUGUCCAAAUAUUGACUAAUUAGGCUCAAAAGAUUCGUCUCGCAAAGUACAACAAAACUGUGCAAUUAGUUUUUGAUUUCGUCUACAUUUAGUACUCCAUGCAUGUACCGCAAGUUUGAUGUGAUGGGAAAUCUUCUUUUUGCAUAGUGUCAAAGUUGGGAGUUUGGAGAGAAGUAAACAAGGGCUUAAUUUAUUCUUACUGAAUAGUAUUAGGCCCCGUUUGGGUCCAAGGAAUUGGAAUCUAUUUAAUGGAGUAGGCUAAUUUAUGUUGGAAUGUGGUAUUCCACAACUUUCCAAAGUUUAGAUAUAAGCCUAUCUUAAAUUCAUGGGGUGGGAGAUGGAAAUUGAUUCUAUAGAUUAUGGUUAUUAGAUGAAAUUCAAUUCUUAUAGCACGUUCUUAGACUCGCUUCUCUAUAGUAGAAGUGCAGCAUACAAGUAUCUCUCCCAUAUCACCAACUAUAAUAUACAACUAUAUUCCACGUACAAUUAUAUUAGCUUAAUUAAUUUGUGUCUAAAUUAUGAUUAUUAGGAUGGAAUUCAAUUCCAAUGAUCCAAACGGAGCCUUAAUGGAAUUGGCAUCGCUACCUCUCCUCACUAUAAACUAUUCAGGGAUGGAUCCGAGCUUGGCAUGGCUGGUCGCUCCGGCAGCGCACUGCGCACUGCGGGCGCAUGCACUCGCACAGCGGCACAGGGGCACCAGGUAGGGGAACCCGUGCUUGCAGCGCACGCCCUCCUGCACCUCGCGGCCCUGAAGCAGUAGCGGUAGGCGGUAGCGGUGGCUGUCCAGGAACCAGCAGUCGUCCGCUCCGAGCGCGGACGAUUGCACCUGCAGGCCUGUGAGCACACCGUGAAUGAAUUCUGAGAGAUGGAUGCACGAGGAGCAGCCAUGCGAUGCGAGUACAAGCCAUCGCCGUCUUCUGAAGGAGCACGAUGAGCGGCGGAGUCUUGACUCUUGACAACAGCAGGAUCGAACGCGUUCUCUCCCUUAACGUGCGGAAGCACGGCCAGCAAAUGCUGCCCUUCUUUCAGGUUCGUCGAAAGUUCGCGGCAUAAGAUGGUCAGAUCCUGACUGACAACAUCCAUCACCCACGCCGUGCGCAAGGUCUCUGCCGCAUCGACUAUCCCUCUACGUGCCAACGGAUCGAGACUCACGCGCCGUCAACGCAUCCAUGCCCCAAGUACGCGGCAUCCGGUUCCGGCCGCGGGCACGGCGGGUAGCCAUGGUGGCGGGGCGGCCAUCUCUCUAAGGCUGCCGGCCAUGGAGCCUCCUCCCCCAACAACCCCAAAUCCCUAACCCCAACCCGCCCCGCCGCGAGCUCCGCCCGCGGCAGCGACGGCGACCUCGCCGCUGCAGUCACCUCCUCCCCUGGCCUCCUCUUCCCCUUCGGCCCGUCGCUGCUACUGCUGCUAUUUUUUUUCGGUCGCUGGUAACUGUAGCGGCGAACGCGCGCCGUAUAAGAUUUUCGAUCCGGUUCAGCGAUUCACUGUGCAGACCAUGCGGUGUACGCCGCCUCCAACUCAUGCGGAUAGCACCUGGCAGGGGCGCAUCGCUCGAUUCGGUUCGACAUGCAUGGCGACACGAGACUCAUGGGCGGGCGGCUCGUGAACUGUUUCAUUGGUUCACCGUGGGCCGUGACCGCUGACAACACGCGGCUAGCUUCGGCCUGGUUUGGUUCUAUUUGCUUAUUUUUAAGCAAGUGUCACAUCAAUGUUUAGAUACUAAUUAGGAGUAUUAAACGUAGACUAUUUACAAAAUACAUUACAUAAGUGGAGGCUAAACGGCGAGACGAAUCUAUUAAGCCUAAUUAGUCCAUGAUUUGACAAUGUGUUGCUCAGUAAACAUUUGCUAAUGAUGGAUUAAUUAGGCUUAAUAGGUUCGUCUCGCUAGACCGGUCUAGCUUUUGAUUCAUGAGUCAUGACUGACCAGAUAUGGAUUCCAAUGAGCAAUGACAUUUAGCAGGCCUCAUUUCUGAAGCGCGAGUUUUACAGAAAUGGCCACGGGUUCCACAGGAAUUCGACAGGAUUCCCAUGCUAGUAGUUACAGUUUUCAAACGAGAGACGUCGCCUUGCUUCGCAGGGCAACCUUCAGGCUGCAGGCCGUCCAAAUAAUAUAUAACAACAGAUGUAAUCAUGUAAUUAUACUACGUACUUGCUGCACGCGUCAUGCAAAGUACUCGAUCAGUGGUUGCAGUUGGGGAGCAGGCACUCGCAGAUGGGCACAAGGUUGGGGAAGUUGCUGUUGCAGCGCCCGUCCACCUUGCCCUUAUCCUGGCAGUGGCCCCGGCACUUGGGCUGGUGGAAGCAGAUGGGAUAGUCCGCGUUGUUGUUCACCCAGCAGUCGUCCGAUCCAAGAACAACCAUGCCUGCAGGUAAAUUAUUGGCACAGUUUCAUGGAAGCAUUGUUACGCAUGUAUCGACGAGGAGACGCUGUAGUGUAUGUGCUUACCGGAGUGCACGAGGAGCAGGCAGAGGAGGAGGCCUGAGGCCAUCGCUUUCCCUGACGUCGCCAUUGCUAGGAUGCCAAGCCUGAGGACAGAUUGUUUAUUUCAAAAAAAAAAAAAAGCCUGAGGACAAGUUGAACGCACCCAGCUCUUUAUGUAGUCCCCAAGCCUCGUCCUGACCAGAGGUACCGGUAGGUGGAUUUUUCUACUAAACCGGUUAACCACCAAUCCAUACAUGUUCAAUCUAAAUUUAACCAAAAGAACUUAUGUUACCCAAAAGUAACCAGUGAUCCAAGUUUAGCAAAUUCAUAUCCAGCGCACGUCCUGCCUGCAUUGGACGGCUCGCGAGAGCACGAGUAAUCUGCCUAAAACUCUCCCAACCUCACUGUCCGUCGCGCCGUCACAGGGCAUGCAUUCGUUGUCGCAGCAUGUUUUGUUUUCCAUGGUAUUCAUAGGGUUGGUAGAAAAGCUCAAGCUCGUGAGCGGACUCAGAUAGGUUCAGCUCGGCUUGAUAUUUUAAACGAAUCGGGCCAAACUUUGAUUUCAGCUUAUUUUCUUAAUGAGCCGCUCGUGUGAGGUGUUCGAUUGACUCAUUAGACUUAAUAACUAAAACAAUACCAAACUUUUAUUUUAUUAAUACAAUGGUAUUAUUAUUAUUAUUAUUAUUAUUAUUAUUAUUAUUAUUAUUAUUAUUUAGCUAAAAUAAGCUUAUUAUUCAACUUUUAAGUCAAAUAUGAUACUAAUAAAGUCUAUUUUAAGUCUCCAAAUGUCUAUGUCAUUCUAAUUUAUUGACUUGUAUUACUUAUUUCCAUAAGCAAAUACUUUUAUAUAUUAUAAAUAUGAUUAAAAUAUUAUAUAUUAGUUAAUAUCUCAUUUGAUCUUAACAUUAUUGUUGAACAAUACUCAGCUCGUGAGCUAAACGAGCGGACUCGAUGCUAACGAACUAAGCUAAACUUAAUUUUCAGCUCGGUAACCGAGCUAGCUCGUAAUCAAACGAGCCACAACGAGGCGAGACUUAACGAGCCGAGCUGGCUCAUCAGCCACCCCUUGGUAUCCAGGUGAACCUGUACGUUCUUCCGUCAGAGAUAAGGCUUAUUUCUUGGCAGCACAAAGUGCUGAUGUAUUUGUUUCGCGUGAUCGCUGGAUGAUACGCAAUGAAUUUUUAACCGGCCGUCUGAAAAGUGUCUGAUUGACUUUAUCUACGUACGUUCAGCUAACAAAAUCAUUUUUGUUCGGCUCAAAAAUCACGACUUUGUCACCACUGUAUCUGAAUCUCGAUUUGCCUGUCAGUAUAGCUUGGUUCACACCUUUUCAUCAUUAAAAAAUAAAGUAAAAUUGUAUGGGAGCUCGUUUACUGGCUCUCAGUUCUCAUACACGAUAAGUGAAAAAUCUCAGCAACAUGUAGCAUCGCCAACCAGACGGUGACGUUUCCAGCUUGACGGACUUAUGGCACAACACAUAUGCCUCUCUGCAGUGUGCACACUGCAUACUGCCAAUCAAACAAAAAAAUUACAUGCAAAUAAACCUCCUCACUGUACUGUGCACGAGCAACCCAUAGGCCAUGGGGAACACACACCGGCCCUUGACACCGUUUCCUCCGUCUAUUAUUUUAAUACAAUAGUUUAAAAAGAAAGAAGCCAUCAUAUUCACCGAGAGGGUAUAGAAAUUACCACGUUAAUCAGAAAAGAGAAGAAUAUGCAUCCCUAGAUUUUAUGAUGAUCCGACGGUCUAGACUAACCCAUAGACUCCAUAACUAAUACGAUAAAUAAAUACAUAUAACUUUGAAAUUAAAUAAAAGAAACAAGACAAAAUAAGACAUCACGUUGUGUCGUACAUACAUCUAUGGACCCACCAGAAGGUUUGGACACUCCUAGAUAUAGGGCUGGACACCGAGACGUGUCAGAUAUGGAGGCUACGGUGCAGAACGGCGUAGUCUACAUGGCAGGAUAGCAACUAGUCAAGGAUUAGUAAACUACUCGUAGCAAUUAGUGUAGGACUUGCCUAGUCGAAUCCGACUAGUAUUCUUGUAAACAACCGACCUAUAACCCUGCCCCGGCAAUAUAAGACGAGGCAGGAACCCCUCUCCAAAGCAAUUCAAUCCAACCAACACACAUGACGUAGGGUAUUACGCAAUCUAGCAGUCCGAACCUGUCUAAAUCGUGUGUCUGAGUUCACCUUUGAAGUUUCUGAUCUCGAUGAUCCCCACGCACUAAACACUACCUUGAGCAUCCCCCUCGGUAGGUUGCCGGGUCUAAACACCGACACGUUGGUAAUAUACAGUAUUGAAACUGAGAUACAACUCUAAUUCAAGUUAGUUUAUACGUAAUACGAUUGGAAAGACAUUAUAAUAGUAGGAAAAUUAUCUACCUACUAAAAUAGCAAAACGAUCAACCUUAUAUACACAUUGACAACCAGGCAAAAAAGACAAAAAGGAUCAGGUGGCACUAUUGUACGCACAUGCCAUGAAGCAACAAAACCGGACCACAACGGUGGAUAGGAUUUAAUUUUGUGGCCGGAAGUCAGUGGUGGAAAUUAAAGAUGAAAACAAAUCUGUAAUUCGAUAAAAGGUGGAGACUUAAACGACUGUGUUAAAUGAAGCAUCACAUUUGCUAAAAGUUUUAGAAAUUUCCAUAUUAAUCUUAGAAAAUGUCCACAAUUAGAUUUCUGAUAGUGUAAUGAUCUAGACCAACCUAAAGAGUCCAUGUCAAAUACGACAAAUAAUUACCGAUUUCCAUACAGUUGGAAGAAAAUUAGCUAAAUAAAGUGUACAGGCUAAAUGCAACUAAUAAAUAACUAAAUUCAGAAUAAAAAUAAUGGAAAAGUGGGUUUUUGAUUUCUUAUUGAUAUAGGGAAUCGUAUUCCAUAAAUAAAGAACCCAUUUAUAUUGUAAUUUGUUUAGAGAUAAAUUUUGAAAUAAAAACAAUAAUUUUCAAGAUCCAUAUGAUUUAGUCAAAGAGUAAAAAAGGCAAUUCCUGCACACCCUCAACGCGUAAUGAUAGACGAGGUCAAAAGUAGAAUCUAGCCACAUACAAAUACAUCAUCCUUUGUCUAUUUGGAAUUAUGUAGGAGAGAAGAAAAAUAAUCACUCCACCAACACCAAACGAGUAGGGCACAUCCUCACAUUGCCAUGCACCCUCUUGCAGUCUUGCCUUAUAUAUGUUCCUUCUCCACACCAUCUCUCACCUUGCGAGGCCCACCGUAUAUAGCGAGAACUAAUUAAGGUCAACCAUCAAUAAUAUUAAUGCUAAUCAAAUCUAAGAGGCACACGGCGGUGACACGAUGGAUGCUGCCUGUUGUACGGGAAUUACAUUGAACUCGAAGAGGGAACAUCAGCAUAUCACAUAUGUGCUAGAUAUUGCACUUGAGCAUGACGACCUAGACCAUGAACAAGACAGGAUAGGGAUUGCAAACAUGCUCGUGAGACAGGGAGGCCAACUGGCCUAGCAAGGCAUGCAGCCGGGCUAGGAUGGAAGCUCCGGGAGGAGGUGCGUACACAGGGGCUGAGCCGCUUCAUCUCGCGCCUUGGCGAACGGGGGUUUCCUCUCUAUCGACUCCUGAAGAAGACGGACCGCUUCGAAUGGACCGACGAGGCCCAUGAGGAACUUGACCGACUCAAGGACCUUCUGACGAAUGCUCCGGUCCUGGUCCCGCCGACCGACGGCGAGCCCCUCCUGCUAUACAUCACGGCGACCACCCAGGUGGUUAGCGCGGCCCUGGUGGUGGAACGAGAAGAGGAGGGACACGCUCUCAAGGUACAACGCCCGGUGUAUUUCAUCAGCGAGGUCUUGUCCGAGUCCAAGGCGCGCUACCCACAGAUCCAGAAGCUCAUCUACGCCGUCCUCAUCACGAAGAGGAAGCUGCGCCACUACUUCACCUCCCACCCGGUAACGGUUGUUUCGUCGUUCCCACUAGGUGAAGUGAUCCGGAACCAAGACGCCACGGGAUGGAUCGCAAAGUGGGCGCUCGAGCUCAUGGACCAGGGGAUCACCUACGCUCCCCGCACCGCCAUCAAGUCCUAGGUACUCGCCGAUUUCGUAGUAGAGUGGACGGAGAUCCAAAUGCCUUCAGCGCCGGAGAAGCAGGAGUACUGGACGAUGUACUUCGACGGGUCGCUGAUGAGGGCCCGUGCCGGAGCGGGUCUCGUCUUCGUCUCUCCUCUAGGCGUGCGCAUCAGGUACAUGAUCCGCCUCCACUUUCCUGCAUCCAACAAUGUCGCCGAGUACGGGGCCCUCCUCAACGGGCUGCACAUCGCCAUCGAGCUGGGCAUCCGUCGGCUAGACAUCCGGGGCGACUCCCAGCUAGUCGUCGAACAAGUCAUGAAGGAGUAGAGCUGCCACGACCCCAAGAUGGCAGCCUACUGCAAUGAGGUUCGCAAGCUUGAAGACAAGUUCGACGGGCUGGAGCUCAAUCACAUCGCAAGGCGCUUCAACGAAGCCGCCGACGAGCUGGCGAAGGCAGCAUCCGGCCGAAUGCCCGUCCCCGACGGCGUCUUCGUCAGCGACCAGUUCAAGCCUUCAAUCCGUCACCCAGAGCCGGCGAGGGUCAGCGAAGCACCCCCGGUCCCGGGGUCGGACCCCGACUUAGGAGAGGUCGGCAGCGCGCCACCCGUCCUAGGCCCGAACAUUAGCCACGACAGGGUCGGCUCCGCUUCGCCUGACUCGGCCCCGGAAGCCGAUCCCUCUGGCCCCAUGGUCAUGGAAAUCGCGGCAGACCCCGCGGCGGGGCCCAACCCCCAGCCGACUGGAGAGCCCCAUACCUCGACUACCUUGUCCACGACACGCUCCCGGCAAAACAAACAGAGGCCCGUAGGAUCGCGCGUCGCGCCAAAUCCUUCGCCGUUAUCGAUCAGGAGCUCUACAAGAGAAGCCACACCGGCAUCCUCCAGCGCUGCAUCCCGAUCGAACAGGGAAAGGCACUGAUCCAGGACAUCCACGCCGGAGCCUGCGGCCACCAUGCUGCGCCAAGGACCCUCGUUGGUAACGCCUUCCGGCAAGGUUUCUACUGGCCGACGGCGGUCGCCGACGCCACCCAGGUAGUCCGCACCUGUGAGGGGUGCCAAUUCUUUGCGUGCCAAACUCACCUGCCCGCGCAGGCGCUACAAACCAUCCCCAUCACGUGGUCGUUCACGGUCUGGGGGCUGGAUCUCGUCGGGCCCUUCAAGAAAGCGCCCGGGGGCUUCACCCACCUACUUGUCGUCGUUGACAAGUUCUCUAAGUGGAUCGAAGCAAGACCGGUGGUGCAAAUCAAGUCCGAGCAGGCGGUACAGUUCUUCACUGACAUCAUCCACCGCUUCGGAAUCCCCAAUUCCAUCAUCACCGACAACGGCACGCAGUUCACCGGGAAGAAAUUCCUUCAGUUCUGCGACGACCACUACAUCCGAGUGGACUGGUCGGCCAUGGCACACCCCCGCACGAACGGGCAGGUCGAGCGAGCCAACGGCAUGAUACUCCAGGGUCUCAAGCCGCGGAUCUUCGACCGCCUCAAAAAGUUUGGCGGACGAUGGGUCGCCGAGCUUCCCGCAGUCCUUUGGAGCCUGAGGACAACCCCCAGUCGGGCGACUGGCUUCACCCCGUUCUUCAUGGUUUACGGGUCCGAGGCCAUCCUGCCCACCGAUCUGGAAUACGGAUCGCCGAGGGUCAAGGCGUACGACGAACAAGGGAACCAGACAUCGCUUGAAGACGCACGAGAUCAACUCGACGAGGCACGAGACGUAGCCCUGCUGCACUCGGCUAAGUAUCAGCAGGCCCUACGGCGUUACCACAGCCGCAAGGUACAAGGCCGAGCCUUCAACGUCGGCGACCUGGUGCUCCGCCUCGUCCAGGAUAACACGGGUCGGCACAAGGUAACUCCCCCUGGGAAGGUCCUUUCAUCAUCGCGCAAGUACUAUGACUAGGCACCUACAAGCUAGCGACCCCCGACGGGCAGAUCUUCGGCAAUGCUUGGAACAUAGAACAGCUAAGACGCUUCUACCCCUAGCUUUUGUUUUCAAGUUUUGUACAUAGACGCUUCUGUAAAUUAAAAAUUUUACGGAAAAAAGAAUUUUGAGUUGGAUCCAUUCAAGUUUCGCUUCGAACUCAGGGAUAUCCGACCCUGGCUCUGCCUCAGGGUCGCACAUCCCUCGGGGUCUAUCAAGGGCUCCGGCCCAAGCCACUUGACAUCCUCUCAAAACACUUUCUCUUCCCGGGCCGACCCUCUUUCUGAACUUUCGGGCAUGAAAAGGAGAGAGUGCACGACUGGUGUUCAGGCAAGACUGAUCGGACUGCGAAAAAACCUACGCCACAGCGGCUACGAUGCCUUCGCUCAUCAAUGCUUACUGACACACCCGACAAAGCACUCUAAACUUUAUAAGCCAAAAAAAUUAGAAAGGGGAUCGAAAACUUUUUCGCGACAAUUUAUAGAAGAGGCCUCUAUGGCCACCACAAAACAAGUCUGAAACUAAUGUAUUUACAUCUGGGGCGCCAGCCCAAUACAGUUAACUCGUCCGGGGAUCUUCGGGCGGGACGGCUUCAUCCUCGAGGAGCUUCGCCAAGGCCUCCGCUGGGUCGAGCACCGACGCGUCGAUCUCGUCCAGCUCGGCCUCGGAGUAGCCGGCGGCAUACCCCCCGCUCAUCCCGGCGAAGUUGAUGCUGGAGUAAUUGGAGCCGGAGACCCCAAAGGCUCGCCUCACGCUGGUAUGGAGCGCCUCUAGGGCUAUCUCGCGGGCCCGGCGGUACGUCCCGAGGACACGAGUUGCCAGCGAGCUCGUCCCCUCCCCCUGGACCACGCCGAGGUCGUCGCAAACGACGCGGACCGCAUCCCGCAGGGCGCCGUGCUCAAUGCGUUCCGCGUCGAGCGCCUCCCUCAGCCGGGUGAGCUCGCCUGCAAGGAUCACCCAGAAGAACCCGCUAAAUCGAAAAUCACCGCAACAUCACAAAGACAAAAGAAAUGAACAGAGUCUUACCCUCAGACUGGGCCUUCAGCUGGCGCUCCCGGUCGAGCCCCUGUGCCACAGAGGCCUGAAGCUCCCGCGCUUGCGCUUGAAGCUGGACGACCUCCACCCCAAGGUCAGUCGCCACCUUCUCGGCCUCCUCCUUCUGGACCUUCUCAGCGUCCCGGUCCUGCCAAACCUUUUGCCGCUCGCGCCGGACGCGCUUGACGGUCUUCUGAAGGGCUUCAUGCUCCCCCUUCAGCCGUGCGAGCUCCUCGGCGUCGUGGCGGGCCUUUUCGGCAGCGGCCUGGAACUCGCGAUCGAGGUGGGCCUUGUCGACGACGGCUUGGAGUUUGGCUUCCGACCGCCGCGCCUCCUCCCACGCCGCUUGCUCGCGCCUUUGCAGGUCGUUGAUGACCCCCUGGGCGGCAGCAACCUGCAUGGAUAGCUCCUUGGUUCACUCCCUCUCCAAGUUGAAGCGCUCCCAGAGCCCCCGCUCCAGCCGGAGGAAAUCAGAUUUCCCCCGACUGCACUCUUGGAGAGCCUGCAAAGCAAUACACCAUCAGGGGCAAGGCAACGGGAAAGGGACAAUCAUCGACAAAAGGGGCGACGUACCUAGCUACCAGGGAGGAUGACGUUGUCCAAAGCCCCCAUCACCGAGGACAGAGCCGCGCGGGCGUUGGUGAGGCCACCCUGCACCGCCUGCCACUUGCGCCACUCCGCGGCGUCAUCCAGGGUGAAGAGGUGCCUCGGCGGGUCCUCACGGGACGUCCAACGCAGGACAGACCCUCUCCACGCCCUGGGAACGGUAGCGGCCAAGGCCGAGGCGGGAGCCGAUCCUGGCGCCGCCGUCGAAGCAGACUCCACCAUCCCGGAAGCCGCUGGGUUCACCGACGGCCCCGGCGCCUGCGCACCUGUUGCCGUCGGGGCCGCCACGGGGUCGCCCGACGGCGUCACUGCCUCCGACGCAGGCGACGGAACAGGUAUCCUCGCGUCUACCUCGCCCUCCACCGCAACCGCCGAGGGAGGCUCCUCCGCUCCUGCCGGAGCCCCUCGAGCGGGCACUUCCGCCUCCGCCGCCAAUGCCACCUCAGCCGGGACCUCCGGGGCAGAGGUCCCCACCUUCGUCACCGCUACCCCCUCCGCCGCAACCGCGGAGGCAGACACUCUCUCCUCCGUCGCCGCCGCUGUCCCCAUCGCAGCUGCAGGAACAUCAGUCCCUGUUCCUGUCGCCGCCGUUCCCUCCGCCUCGUCGGCGUCGAGGUCGAUCACUUCCCCAGCCUGAGGACCCUGGGGAGUGACGCUCUGCACCGAGGGGUUGACCGGGGAAGCGGAAGGUGGAGCGGGGUCCACACCCUCUCCCGCGCCUGAUGACGCCGCCUCUCCGCCGGUCGCCGUCACAGGGGCCGCUUCCUCGGUGGGACCCGCGACCCCACCGGGGACCCCGCCGCUCGCCACGGGCGGGACCGCGGUCCGCCCUGCAGAGGCGGACGACACCCGCAGCGCCUUCUUGGGCGCCAGCUGCAGGACAAGACCACGGGGGGCGGCGCUACCAAACAACAAAUAAAUGUUAGUGGAAACGAACGCAAGGGGGGGGCAAGAGCGAGGUUCACGAGGAAGUCAAACUUACGUUCCUCCGGAGCAAGGACGGCGCGCGCGCUUCGCCUCGGAGCCGGACGCCGACCCCGGGGCAUCUGGCAGCGGCCGCUUGUCGCCGCUCCGCUGCCCUCGAGUCUCAGGCGCGAUAGCGGGGGCGGGCUCCGUGGACCUCCGGGGAGCGCUCCGCGCUGACUCCGGGGGGACGUCCCGCGUCGGCUCCUGGGCGACGGCGGGGGCGGGCUCCAAAGACCUCCGGGGGGCGCUCCGUGCCGGCUCCUGGGAGGCGCCCCGCGCCGACCCCUGGGGGGGCGCCCCGCACCGACCCCUGGGGCGUGGCCCUGGAGCCUUGCGGAACUGAGCCCCGGACAGACGGUCCUUCCGCCUCAUCCAUCACGGCCGCUUGCAGGCGCGUCUCCCGGAUUAUGAGCGCACCCGACCGAGGGGAUAAGACCAGCUCUUCCUCCUCUUCAUCAUCUUCCUCAUCUUCCUCAUCAUCAUCAUCGUCAUCGUCGUCGUCGUCAUCUGACACGACCUGCCCUCUCCGCCGCCGUUGGAACUCCUUGGCGGCCCUCUUCCUGUUUUUCGCCGUCUCCUUGUCCUUACGGCGCUUCUGCUCCUCGGCAAGGAGACAGUUUUGCGUUCGCCGAUCGGCGUCCUCCGGCACCGGCGGACGCGAGUCCACAACCCGGGUCAGCAUGCCCUACAAACACGAGAUAGCCUCGCGUCAGAGCAACGACCAAGAAACACGAAAAAAGAAGGUCGGCACCCCAAUCCAUUACCAGGUCGACGAAGCCCUCAUCCAGGUGCAUCGGCGGGUGUCCAGGCACCGGGUAGUCAGCGUCCUUGUCCUCCAACGCCUCCCGAAUCCGCUGUUGGAUCUCGGAGGCGGCGAGCGCGCCUGCCACCAGAGCGGUGCCCUCGGUCGGUGCGCCCGGAGUCAUGGCGGCGAGCGAACGGACCCGGAGCAUCAGCGGCACCACCCGCCGGGCAUGGUACGCCCCAAUGACCCCGGCGCCGGUAAGCCCCCUCUGCUUCAACUGCUCGAUAGCCUGCAGCAGGUCGAGGAUCCGCUUCUUCUCCUUCUCAACCGGGCCGUACGACCACACCUCCGGCGCCACGUCGAUGGUGCGGCCGGUGAACUCCGGCAGGGGGGAGUUUGAGUAGUUCUUCAGAUAGAACCACUGGUUGUGCCACCCCUUGUGGGACGCCGCGGUCUUCAUCGCCAUAUACUCCUUGGAGCGAGUAUGGCGGAGGUGGAUUUCGACGCACCCGAUCGGCACCGGGGGCGACCGCUGCUGGUUCCCCCUCCUCUCCGUCUUCUGGUACAGGCUCACCGUGAAGAAGUACUUCCACAGCGAGAAGUUGGGCUCGAUGCCCAGAAACCCCUCGCACAGUCCCGAACCUGUCUAAAUCGUGUGUUCGAGUUCACCAUCGAGUUUCUAAUCUCGGCGAGCCCCGUACAUAAAACACUACCUCGAAUACCCCUUGGUAGGUUGCCGGGUCUGACAGGGCCAACUGCAUAUCUUCGUUUUGGGUGGGUUGAGUAUACUUUUCAGUCUUGAGUUUUUGUUAAUUUUGGAUGUAGGAAGUGGCUCCAAUCUGAACAUUUGAUCGUCUGAGAUCUGAAAUUUCUAAUAAUCCAACACCACCCUUAAAAGUUUGUGAACACAAUAUAUUUUUGACACAACUGCCUUAGCCUGCAAGUUCACAUCAUUUUUCCUCGUUAAAUUUUAAAUAGAAUGAUACCCUGAUCAUUGUAUAUUUUUGAUAGUUGUAGUCCUAUCUGGCUACAUCUGAAUGUAUGAUGCCUACUUCUAAAAUAAACGCAUUAUACAAAGCUCAUGUACAGUUUGAAAUUUUUUUUAGUACAUCUUCUUGACUUUUUGUGGUUCUUUUUUUUUAACCAAGUUUAACCAUGAUCAGGAACUGCAGAUCCUUUCUCCUCACUAGCAUUCCUUUGGAAUGCAUCCGUUCUGCCUUUGCGCAUUCGAAGCGGGCGCGACUUUCGUUUUCGGCUCUUGGGUCUGUGUUGCAGAUGGCGCUGGAAACUUCCACUGUCACAUCACGCCGGCUCCGGAGGAGAAGCACUACGACAUUAACCUUCAUCGCCAAGCUUUGAAGGAUUUCGUCAAAAAAUUCAACGAAAUUUUCGACCUAUUCUAUGGCUCCGGGAACGAGUCCGAGUACAACUCGAAUUCUCCCACUAGCCGGAUUGAUUCUCACGAGCUGGCGCUCAAGUCAUUGUGUAAACUUAUUUUUCCAACCACUUAUACACAUGUACGCGCAAUCAAACCUAUGAACGUAUGCACACACCUUCCUCUAUGAGAACCUCAGGGGGAUUGGCCGACAUAUUUGAGAUUGACGAACGCACCCACAAGCGUGUCGUUAGCAAUGGGCACAUCGCUAACCACUAAAAGAAUAGUAUUGCUAAAUCCACAAAAAAAUAGGAACACAUGUACGGAAUAUAGGAUUUAAACCCAAAAUGGUUGGUUAUACUACAAGGAAAUGAACCACAAUUCUAUUUUCUGAAAUUUGCAAAGUUUUAUUCUUUUAAAACAAAAUACACCUGCUUUAUAGAGUGGAUGGAGUAUAUAUGUAUAUCUUAGUACCAUAGGGUAUGUUUGGUUGCCUCGCUAAGGGCUAGCCAGGCUCCCCAGAUCCAACCAACCUAUUUUUGGUUGCCUAGUUAGACCCAUUAGCCAGGCUCCUCCAUAUUCUAGCCAGGUUAGAAGCCAACCAACCAAACAGAUCCUUAGGGUAUGUUUGGUUGAAUGCAUCGUAUAAUAUAUGUAUAGAUGAUCCUGGAUGGUAUGGUUUAACCAAUUUGCUUGAACCAUACGGUUCACCCCUCUUAAUAGAUAGUUAUACCAAGUGGGAUGAUAUUAUCCUAUACGAGUUGGUACAAUUCGUCCAACCAAAUAAAAUAUAACUAUUUAUUUUUGAAUCAUUUCAUAUAUGAAUCAAAUGAUACAUGCAACCAAAUACACCCUUAAUACUAAAAUAAACCACCACAUUCACCGUGAAAACAACAUCAGAGAAAGAGAAAGGUAGAUGGUAUGAUUUGCUAAGCGGAAGAGUUGAGGGAAUUUAAUAAGAUCAACCCCUGGAUACCACACCAACUGCACACAAAGUGGAGAUGCAACAUUAUCAUGGCUAGAGGGUAGGUUGUCCAACUCACUGUGCAAGUACAAAAUUGAAGAGGCCAGUGAAAUAAUAUGUGCUUGAAACUAGCCCAACUAGAAAUAUAAUUGGGCUGAGUGGGUUCGGACUGUAUUUAUGACUAGGCAUGAGCAUUUUGCGGGACGCACUGAAAAUGUAGGACUAGGCAUGAGCAUUUUGCGGGACGCACUGAAAAUGUAGGCUCACUAUCGUCCCGUAAAUAUUGUUGUGCUAAUUUUUUGACCAGACUCGGACUUCCCGUUCUUUUUUAGUUGAAAAAUAAAUAAAAUAAAUUAUCUAAGUGGGUUCGGGCUGGGCCAAAAUUUUCGAACCUGAUUUUCAUUGACCAAACCCGUCCAUGAAGCUAGUGUGGGCGGGCCAAAUCGCAGGGGACUCAGGUCGGGUCCAUGGGCCAGGUCAGACUGAAGUCUAUUUACGACUCCUCUCAACACUACGUAAAGACCCAAUCUUAACUAUAUCCUCUUCAUAAACCUAGGAAUAUUUUGUCACCCAGACUAAACUAUCAGAUAGAAAUUCACAUUACGAGGCAAAAAUAUAUUACUUUUGAUAAAAAAAAGUAUAUUUCUAAAUAAGGUAUUCCCUAUCGUUAUUAAUAUCAUUACCAAUUCAUGUUUCAUGCCAAAAAAUAUAAUGAUUAAAAAGAUGAUACUUGGUAUGGGCCAUUUGAACAAAACAAUAACAAUAAAAUGAAAAAAUAAAAAAAGUUUAAAUUUAUUUUCAAAUUAUGAAACAAAUAUGGCCGCCUCGCUAUUUGCUGCUGCUGAAUUAACCGGAAGCACCCGUCGCUUCUGGAGGGCAGUUGGGGCGCAGGCACUGGCAGAAGGGCAGCAGGUUGGGGAACCCCCAUUGGCAGCGCCCGUCCACGGAGCCGUGCUCCACGCAGCUGCUCCGGCACUUCUCCGUCUUCAGGCAGACGACGUAGUGCACGUGGUCGUCCACCCAGCAGUCGUCGUCCGACGACCCAAGAACAGCCGGCGCCAAGCCUGCAGAUUUAAGUUAAUUUUCACAUGAUCCAGAGACCGGCAGUGGGUUCUCAGAUGCUUGGGGUUUCAUGCGACUUGAUGAGACAUUGUCCGGAAAGAUACGCCGCCGUAUUACCUGAGUUCAAGAGGAGUAGCAGAGUGAGGAGACCUGAAGCCAUCGCCUUCCUUGCCAUCCCCAUUUCUGCCACCACGCUGAGGAGAGAAGCCUGGAUGCAAUCUCUACCUCUUUAUGCGCGCACGCACUCACGUCCAGAGGUGCUGAUGGAUGAAUGCCAGCCCACCAGCCAUUUAAAUUGUUUUCAUAUAUUAAUUGGAGUAAUUCAUAGAACUAGAUAGUUUCCAUAUUAAUGAGAAGUAGGAUACCAUACGAAAAGAAAAGACAUUAUGGUCAUCUAUUUCUUUCUGUGAUCGUAUCGUAAUCAAUGGCUUGGGCACGCGACAAAUUCUGCUACCCAGUGGUUUAGGCUUGGCCUGCCCGCUCGGAUAAACGAGAGGAGGCCGUUGCAUAGAUCUCGGAUUGGCGAAGGGCUCUCACGUCUGCAGAGCAGCAGGAGAUCCGUGCGCAGCAAACGGAGGGCGUCGACGAUGAUGACGCGCCACGCUUUGCCGAAACACAGCCGGACGCGGCGAGGCGGCCGGGUCCAGGACGCCCGUUCGGGAGGAGGUCGUCAGGCUCAGGCAGCAGCCGCCAGCGCCAGGUCGCCCGUGGAUCCCUAGAUCCCGUCGGUUCCUUGGCAACUCGUGGGCGAAAUCUGGAGACACAUAAAGUCCGGUUCGGUUUCGGCACGGCGGCAACAAAGUCAGCGCCGGCUCAGGGUUUGCGCUGGCGUAUUGCUUUGCGAUUCCGGCUGCCCAAAAUGUUGGGUGGCUGCAUAUGCAUCUCCACGGAUUGCCCACAUUCUUAGAGCAUCUUCAACGGAUCUAAAAUUUAUUUUAGGUAUAGGAUAGAGAAAAAUUUUAGAUAAUUAGUGUGCUCUUCUCCAACAGCUUUGGUAAAUGAAUAUUCAUCCAAGGACUAUUCCGCAAACAAAAUCUUUUUUAGGCUAAAGUCCCGAUGGAUUCUUUAGUCCCUCUUAAGUCUUAAGAGUAACUCGAAGAGACUGUUAAUCUUACCUCCAAUACUUGUUUUAGGGGAAAAAAAGAGAGAGAAAACGAACUCCAAUAGUACACUCAAACCUUCCCCAAUUUUUUAGUGAUGCUAAAAAAUAGUCUGCCACCGCGUAUAUUUUAGCAUUGCCGUUCCUCCCCCAAUCCAUCAUUUUUUUCUCCUCUUUCCAUCCUCCCGCCGCCCAUCCACCCACGCGCAGCACCACUACCUGCUCGACGGCGCGCCGCGGAGCCAGGGGCAUGUGUCAGCCGUGCCACGCGCAUGCGCGGCCAACGCAGGAGCGGGAGCGAGACCUCGCCGGGCCCUACGCGCGGGAGAUUGGCACCUGCGUCCGCGCGUGGUGCGAGGCGUUCGUGUUCAUGCGCGCUGCGGGUGCUGUGCCGGACAGGUUCCUCCUCCCGCAGUGCUCCACACCUGCGCCGGGCUGGGCGUCCCUCACCUCGCGGUUUGCAACUUUGCUUUAAAAGUUUCGGUCAGAACUGACAACCACAGAACAUUGAUGGAGGAUUGGAUGCUUCCUUCAUCCAGCCCAAGAACACUGAUGUCAAGCUUCUCAAACGAAGAAUUCAGCUCUUGUCCAUUCUUCAGCUUCUUCAAUGACAAUGGCAUGGAUGCAAUUGAGAAGAGCAAAACUUUGGGGAUAGGAGCUAAACUUUUGCUCUGUCACAUCAAAUGUUUGGAUGUUAAUUAGGAGGACUAAACAUAAGUUAAUUAAAAAAUUAAUUGCAGAAUCCCUAGGUUAAAUCGCGAGACGAAUCAAUUAAGCCUAAUUAAUCAUCAUUAGCGAAUGGUUACUGUAGCAACACAUUAUCAAAUCAUGGACUAAUUAGGCUUAAUAGAUUCGUCUCGCAAUUUAGCCUAGGGAUUGUGCAAUUAGUUUUGUAAUUAGUCUAUAUUUAAUACUCCUAAUUAGUGUCAAACAUCCGAUGUGAUAGGGGCUAAAAUUUAGCUUAGGGGAGCCAAACACCCCCUUUAGUUGAUUCGAGCGUUGAAGAAACUGUUCAAGAUACAAAAGCCCCUCUGCAGCUUGAAUCAAACCUUUUUAGCGCAAAUCUGGAUGAAGAUCCAAAGGUAGAGGGGGCUUCGUUUCGAAGGUAGGCCCAAUUACGAUGACGUGGAAAAUAUUGGAGAGUAGUUUUUAGUAUUCUGCUGUGACCUCAUAUGUUUUUUGGGGGAAAAUUUUUUAGCAUAGCCCCCAAUACCUCAUUUUGGGAAGAAUUUUUUGGGGAACUUUUGAAGUUGCUCUAAGGUUCCUAUCACAUCGAAUGUUUAGAUACUAAUUAGGAGUAUUAAACAUAGACUAAUUACAAAACUAAUUGCACAGAUGGAGGCUAAUUUGCGAGACGAAUCUAUUAAGACUAAUUAGUCCAUAAUUUGACAAUGUGAUACUACAGUAAACAUGUGCUCAUGAUGGAUUAAUUAGGCUUAAUAGAUUCAUCUCGCGAAUAAGCCUCCAUGUGUAAUUAGUUUUAUAAUUAGCUCAUGCUAAUUAGCCUCCGAAUAUUCGAUAACUUUAGUCCAGACUAAAGAUCAAGCACCCCCUAAUUUGCAAAAUUGAUUUCUCCUCUCCCUAUCCUCUUCCUCCCCGCCGCUCUCUUCUCCUUAUCCUCUGCUCUCCUCCCCCGCCGUCCUCUACUCCCGGCCAUCGCCACCCGCUGCUCCUCCCCGCGCGGCCGCUCUCCCCACGCCGGCCAACCGCAGCUCCCCUCGGCCUCCCCGCGCAGGCUGCCCCCUGCUCCGACCGCGCCAGCCCGCCGCUGCUCAGCCCGCGCCGCUAGCUCCUCUGCUUCUCCCACGGCGGGGUCGUGGCCGGCGGAGCUGCCCGAGGUCGCUGCCGGCGGCGGGGCUGGAGGCGUGGCGCCGGGCCGUGGCCGGAGGCGCGCCGCCGGGCUGGAGCCGUUGCCCCCAAAUUGAGCUCUGCAUGCGCCGACGCUCAUCGGAGGAUGACCUCCAAUUGAGGCGGCGAGUUGUGCGGCGGAGGGGCUGGUUGAGGGCAAAUCAGUUUUGGAGGGUGAGGCCAGGCGGGCGGCGAGGUCAGCUAUGAGAUCCGGCGGCUGGAGGAGUCGCCGGUGGGAAAAGCAUGGUGGCGGGCGGGGCGGUUGGUUCCCGCGUGAGCCCCCUGCAGUUUUACCAAUCCAGAGGUCUGGAUUGGUGUUACUAGUAUACCGCAGGUGCGACACGCACGUAUUUAAAAAAAAUUUACUGAACAUGUCUUUUAUAGAACUUUGAUUAGAAUUAUAAACCGCUUACCAGCAAAAACAAGUGAGAAUAAUCCUACCCAAAUCUCUACUCCUAAAAAACCAAAGAGGAGAAAAAACUUCGUACGUCGUCUGUCAUCCACUCCGUUCACUCGUCCGUUGGCUCCUGCGUCCUCCGCACAACCCGGUCCGCCCUCCGAUGAAACGCCAUCUGAAGCCCAACGCGCGCACUGUCCGCUGCUCCUACUCCAUCCCCGCGCUUCACGCUCGGCCAUCCGAUGUUACCCUUGCUCGCCUACUCCUCCUCCCUCGCCCUGCAUCGCCGCCGUCACCUGCAAUCCGCAUCACUUCGUCUCGCUCGGCCUGCAACGCCGCCCGCAAUCCGCCUGACCUCUGCUCGCUCGACCUGUAACGCCGCCGCCGCCCGCAUUCCACCUGACCUCGGCUCCCUCGGCCUGCUUCGCCGCCGCCGCUGCAGCCGCCGCCACCACCACUGCGCAGCCAGCCUCGCCCGUCCUCCUCCUCUCCUCCAUCGCACUGCGCAGCCGGUGCUGCCCGCCCGCCCUCCUCCUCGGCACGGUCUCCCUACAUAGCCGACGCCGCCAGCCCGCCCUCCUCCUCUCCUCGCCGGGGACACGGCGCCAACGAGCCAGGUUCUAUGUAUUUGAGUUCUAUGUACUUGCAAGAAAUGCUUCAAUUCAAUCUCAUAAUCUGAAUGCUUUUGAGAAAUCAUCUAGAUUGCAUCUUGAUUGCAGUACGAGCUAGAGAAGUCCCCUGCCCCUCGCCCGGGCUCGUCGCUCCCGCCAUUGCGAGCGGCGAAGCGGGUGGUGCUGGUGCGGCACGGGCAGUGGCAGAGCACGUGGAAUGCGGAGGGCCGCAUCCAGGGGAGCUCCGACAUAUCCGUGCUCACGGCCAAGGGUGAGUAUCAGGCCGAGACCUCCCGCCAGAUGCUCCUCUUCGACUCCUUUCACGCCUGCUUCACCAGCCCGCUCGCGCGCUCCCGCCGCACCGCCGAGAUCAUCUGGGAAGGACGUGACGAUGACCUCAUCCCGGACUCCGACCUCCGCGAGAUCGAUCUGAUUUUUGCAUACCAUGUAAUCUGUUCAAUGCUGGCAGGGUGUUUGUGGGAAUGCUUGCCCGAAUUCAGUUCUGCUAACUUGCUGAUUCCUAAUCAGGUGCUUGUGGAAAUGCCUGAGUGCGAUGAGCAGCUGGUGAUUCUGAUUUCCAGGGACUGCUGAAGAAUGAAGGGAAGAAGAGAUACGGGGUAUUGUACAAGCAGUGGCAGAAGAGUGCGUCCAACUUCAGCAUUGACGGGCAUUACCCCGUGCUGUGAGCUAUGGGAUCGUGCACAAAGCUACUGGGAGAGGAUUCUACGAGGGCAAGUCAGUACUUUUUGUCAUAUGUAGUAGAUGGCACCGAUUUUCAGAUGGAUUUGUACUGCUAUUUGGGUUCGGGGCAAGAUAAUCACUUCUUCCUCCAUUUCUGUACUCUGGUUCUCGACAGAUCGAUGUUCGUUUUGCAGGGUCCCGCCCAAGCUCAGGACCUGAGGGAUUCACUGGCUGAAGCAAAGUCGGACAUUGUUGUCAAGGUUAGUUCUUCUCUUUUAUGGACCAUAUAUCAGCCCUGGUGCAUGGAGCUAUCUGUUUAUAUGAAUACCAAAUUGACUGAAAGAUGUACAACUGGGUCAAAUGAUCUUAGUUCCACAAGGCAUCAAACAAGUUUAUAAAAAGUAUGUAUCCAUCAGUGGUGGGUUCAUUAUUUCAUUGUGCACAUGAAGAGUGCAUUAUUUUGCCCUUCGGCGGCAGGUUUCUUAAUUUUCUUACUGACCUUAUUUCAUUGCCUUUUAAAAAAUUGAUUCAUGGACAACGUGGAGUAGGAUGACCCUUGCCAUUGGCUACACAAGGAUGAUUCAUACCAGCCAGCCCAAAUUUGUACAAGCUUCAAUUCCAUUUAAUUAGACUAAAUUAUACUUUAUGCAAUAUCAUAAUAUGAGGGGCUUUGCUACAGAACUCAUAUGUUUGCUCAAUUAUUCUAGAAAGGAGCCACUGGUUUCUACUGGAAUAAUGGUAAGUCAUGGGUUAUUUAAGAAUGGUGGGAUAUCAGGUUGCAUCUAUUACUGAAAGCUAGCUAUUUUUACUGAAUGAGGGGUAAUUGUUGACUUUGUAUUGAGCUGGGAAGAAAAAUUGUACUUGUAUGCAUGCGCGGAGCUAAUGUUUUCCUAUAUGCAGCUUGGUCAGCAGCACUACAUACAGACAUAUAUUGCUUGUGGUUUCAAAUAUCAAAGGUAUAAUAUGAAUUUUGGAAUAUAGCUACGCUGACUGCUUGCAGUUGAAUUUUGUGCAAAGUUGCAGCUUGUGAUAGAUAUGUAGCUUAGCUCUCAAAUGGAAAUUAGGUGCCUCGCCUUUGUUUACAUUUCUGCUUAUUGGGUCCUAGAUUGGGCAAUUUCAUUGCUUACAACUGAACUUAUUUGAGUUGACGUGCAUAGGAUAAUUCAUAUAGAUAGUACCAAUCUGCUGAGCAUAAUUUGACCCUGUGCAAAGCUAGGGAGUGCUCAUCUCUACUUCUCUACUCUAUCUGAAUGCGGCUUAAUAUGGGCUUAAGUUGAUAAAAUCAUGAUUUAGGAAACUGUCAUUUUUCUGUCUGAAGAAAGUAUCUGUUAUCUUAAAAAAAUUAUGUUCAUUCUUGGCUUCAGACAUUUGGUUUACAUUCGAUCUAAUUCGCUUAUUUGACCCAACAUGCUUGUCUGAUAAAAGAAAAAGCAGCAACCUGUUCAUUGUAAUGUUUCUGAAAAUGGCAAAUUCUUUUUAGGUUGAUUUUUUUUUCUAUACUUUGAUGCUCUUGAAGCUUAGUGUUUGAAUGUUUUACUCUGCACCUUCUGGCAUGUAAACCCUUUAGGUAUUCAAUUUGAGACCAACUGUGAAGUUGGUGUUUUCUCCAUGCUGCGUGGUUGCAAUUAGAGACUCAGAGAAGUUAUACAGGUCAGUAUUACUUAUCAAUGGUACUAUAGUAGAUAUUUGAGCAGUUCAAAAUCCAAAAUAGUAUCUCAUGUUAAAUCUCCUAGCUGAUUGUGGUGUGGAUGCCUUAUUUUCUCAUAAUGCAGGAUGUAGCUGUGAUGUUAAGAACAUUUCUGUUGCUUUUUGUGUUUUUUUUUUGCUGAGAGCCAUAACCUAUAGACAAGUGAGUCUUGCUAUAUUUGUCAGCUAUAAAAUGUCACUUAAACCUCUAUUGGUCCUGAUGAAUGUGAAGGGCUGGGGAUUUCUCCCUGGAACUCUAAAAGGAGGUUGUCAGUUCUUUGAAUAAUGUUUUGACUUAUGUUUGUCACAGUAAAGAUAUAACACCUUCUCUCCAAUCAAGCAAUGGUACUUUAACAGUGGUUUUCAAUAACGGAUGAUAUGAUUUGUUUUGCCCGUAGCAACGCACGGGCACAGUCCUAGUGUAUACCUUAUUCGUCAAUUGUCACUUACCACAUAAACCGCUUAGUGCAAGGAGGAAACAAUGGGCAGGCCGCUUGUCUCCUACGCAGUCCGAGCCAUACUCAUAUGUAGCAGAUGCGUAGUCCGAGCCAUACUCAUAUGUAGCAGAUGAAGUUCGCCUUGGUUCCCUCCUUCCUUUUCCCUAGUACCCAACGAGCCAUGCGCCCGCUACCGUCCGGCGUAUUGGACCCAUGCCGCCACCGUCCUCUCGGUGCCUUCCGCAUCUCCCUCCCUCCUUUGUGUUACCAUGAAUGACAAAUAUACUUCUUCAAUUGUAUAAUAUUUGCAUUAAAAUAACAACCACUUAUAGUUGUACGACCACUCUCGGUAUGGCAAAACUGUGAUGUGUGAUGGCAAAGUUGCGCAUAAGAAAUAAUAAAUAACAACCCCUACCCCACACACACAAUUUGAAAAUAAUUUUCAAAUCAUCAAAAACAUCAAGUAAUGCACAUUGUGUACUUGUUUUCUUCUAUAUUCGAACUUCAUCUUUUGCCUUUUAUGUUCUGCUGGAUCAACAUUUUCAAUUUUCAUCACCACCUGCAAUUUUAAAAUACCUUGGUCACAAUUUAUGAUGAUCAGAAAAAACCAAACCAAGUAAUCUGAGAUGAAAAAAUAUAUAAAUACCAUAUUUUCCGCCAGAAAAUCUUUCUUGUAUUAUCAAAUGAGGCCAACCAAACUCUCCUCUUGACCUCUCAUGACCAUAUCCGAUCCAGACCGGGUUUUGUUAUGCUUGUGGGCUAGCAGUUCAAUCUUGCUCUAUUUGUCUGAUCAUUAAGGGGGUGUUUGGAUACACCCUCUAAACUUUAGUACCUAUCACAUCGAAUGUUUGGAUACUAAUUAGGAGUAUUAAAUAUAGUCUAAUUACAAAACUAAUUGCACAGAUGGAGUCUAAUUCACGAGACAGGAAUCACUCGAUAAGUUGAAUCGAUAGGCAAACAGGAAUCCAAGACGGCCACGGGCCUCUUCUUUGUUACGUUUCGUAGUUUUCCGAUUUCAAUAUUUAAAGAGGUACUGAUGUAAAAUCUUCAGUUACUUUGACCUUAUAGGGGAAAAAAACUCAUCGGUGACUCGUGUAGUGGUUUGAAAACGAUAAAAAUUCUGGAAAACGCCUAAAUUUUGAGAAAACCCUCUUAUACAGGGGAAAAAACACUAAUACCACCUGCAGAUUCACGCACAUUUCACACGAAAUACGUCUCUAUCCGCGUGCAACAUCCCCCAGUCCGCAUUCCAACAAGACAACAACCAUUGACCAAAGUCUCAGUCGGAACUGGCUAAUUCAAUUGUACCCAAGUGGAUAUACCGUAUAUGAGAACGUGGAUUAUAUUCUAGACUUGGUCAACAGAAGAACCCACAAUUUUGAGCCAAUUUCGUGGAGCUUUCGCCGGCUCCAGCUCCACCUAAUAUAUUAUUGUUCAUGUGCUACAGUGAUACUAAUUACAGGAGCUGAUUUCCUCUCUUCUCCUUCCUUCACCGACAUUGGAGGAGCCGAUCGAGCAACAAAUUAUGCAUCCUCCGGCUCCAACCUCUAACACAACAGUGCGGGUGUCAGCAGGAACCGGAGCCGGCCGGAACUCCUCCAAACGCGUCCUUUAUAUUGCCUAGUAUAGCUUUGAUUCUUUAGAGCGACAGGAACUGAUCAACUGAAGCCGCCUCUUCCCCGCAACCGACUUGAACGUUUCCCUUCACUUUAGCGUGCGCUUCCACUUCCACGACCACGUGACGUCGGACUCCGCGUCCCGUUCCGCUUUUCCAUUCCACCUGCAUUUCACACUUUCCCCUGUUCUUGCCUCUCCUUUUCCUUGUCUACUGCAAGUACUGGUCGCAAUUUUCCGCUAAAGAAAAGCACCGGCAGCAUUUUUUUUCCCCACCGAUCCAUCAAGAUAGGGUCCUUCUCGGAGGAGCGGAUUGGGCAGCUGCCCGCUUAUUGACUCGUUCCUGGCGGCUAUUGUGAAAUUCUUUAGCCUGUCCUAUUGGCUUUCUUCCCGUAAUCCGCUUCUCCAUUUUCUGGCCACCGACCCAAACCACGCGGCUUGUUCUUGUGGAAUCCAUCUCAAGGGCGGAGGAAAGGUAGGAUCUUCGGCGCUGAUUCUUGGAGGAGCAACUCGUUCUUCGAGGAAAACCAGCGGGUUUUGGUGCUUCUUUAGGGUUGUGUUCUUGCGAAGUUGCUCUUAAGACUUCAGGCAUGGGGACUUGUCGGAGGAGAGUCCCGGCGGUGUGUUUCUUCUUCUGGUUCUUGAUGGGGUUUCAGCUGUGCGCGUCUCUCAAUCAUGAAGGUACUGGGUUUGUGGUCUGGAUCGCUUGCUUGGGUGGGUCUUUCACUCUUUUGUCCCUCCAACCUUUGUUUUGACAAUGUUUUGGGGGUUCUUUGCUGAAUUGCAGGUGCUGCUCUGCUGAAAUUUAAAGAGGUGGUCGAUGCGGACCCGUAUGGCGCUCUCAAGAGUUGGGAUGAAGGGAGUAUGAGCCCUUGUUCUUGGUUCGGUGUGGAGUGCUCUGAUGAUGGACUGGUCAUGACCCUGUAAGUUGUUCUCUUUUGCACAGCAAAAGACAAGUACACACAAAAAAAAAUCAUUUGUGGAUAUAUAUUUAUGAACUAUCUAAAAUAACCUGUGAUGUUAGGAAUCAUAGCUUAGUCCGUGGAGGUGUCCGUCUACGCAUUCGUGUUUUCUCUAGUGUAAAGUAGCGAUAUUUAUUUUGUGCUUGAAUUUAGAGCGUAAUACUAUGUGGUUGUUUCUAAUUAAUCAUGUCUAUGUGUUACCCUAAAUCUGAGUAUGCAAUUAUGCAGGAACUUAGCAAAUCUUGGUCUAAAGGGUGUUUUACCUCCUGAGAUUGGAAAGCUUGUGCAUAUGAAAUCUCUGUAAGCACAUUCUAUACUUGCUUCAGGAGUAUUUUGCUUUUGCUGAUGCGUAUUUUACACAUUGAUUUGGAAACUUUUAAUCAGUAUGAUUUCUUAAUUCUAAAUUUUGAUGGCCUCAGGAUCUUAAGCCUUUCAGAUGUAAAUUCAGGAAUGUCAUCUAGUGUUUUAGUUUUCUUUCUGAGUAUCUAGUUAGAUAAAGCAGGGUUGUUUCUUAUUUGAUGCGCUUACUGUAAUAAACCUUUGAGUUUAGUUGGAACUUAAACAAAUGAAUACCUUAGAAUGGGUUUGAAAAAAAAAAAGAAAGAUAAGCUGUUGUCAUGCAAAUAUCCACUUACAAAUCCUAUCUUGGAUGACCUUUUUCUUAAAAUAAAAAAUCCUUGGUUAUUGUAGCCUGUGGUUUACAAAUUUGAAUUUAAAGAACUUCUUCCUAUCAUCAGUUGGAAGUUCAUCUGAUGAAUAGUGCAUGCCUACUCAACCAAAAAGAUCUUAUUUCAAUGUUUGUAUCUGCAGUUUUGUAUUUGCCUUUUUGGAAGGUUUACCAACUGCUUGGUAUCCUGAUUUAGUUUUGUUUUCCCAUACAGCAUUCUUCACAACAACUCGUUCUAUGGUAUCAUACCUACAGAAAUAGGACAUCUACAGGAUAUAAAGAUGCUGGAUCUGGGAUAUAAUAAUUUCAGUGGAUCAAUUCCAUCAGAUUUGCAAAACAUUUUAUCCCUAGAAUUUCUGUGAGUGAGAACUUCAUGUAACAAGUGUUUCUCUCAGAUUAACUUCACUACCUGACAUUGAUUUCAUUGUUCGAGGUACAGAUUUCUUAAAGGCAACAGGCUUUCCGGGGGUUUACCGGUUGGAUUACAUGAGCUAACUAGGAUAUGUGAAUCUGAAAAUCAAGACAUAAAUUGGUUAAACAGGGUACUCACUGCAAGGUUUGCUACGAUCAGAGUCAGAAGACUGUUACUGAGCAAACGAAAAGAUUCCGAAAUGAUUCACAUUCCAGAGCAUCGAGUAAGGAUACCCCCCUUCCAGAGGGGGUUUCCACCGCUGAAUUCUCCACUGGCACCAUCUCCUCCUGAACCCAUUCCAACCCCUCCUGCAUCACCCCCCAUAGAGCAAACUAAAAGCAAAGAGAACAAGAGCAACAGUAGUUCAAAAAUAUAUGCAUCGAUUGGAGCAACUUUUGGGUUUUUGGUGGUAGCCUUGUCAGCUGUAUGCUUCUUUUACUACUGCCACAGGAAGACUAGCACUGUUGUACCCUUGUCUGCAACCACUUCAAGCAAGCAAUUACAAACCACUGCCAUGGAAGGUUGGUAGAUGUGCUAAUGUUUUGCCAUGCAGUUUUGUUCAAUGCUAACUUUUCUGUAGUCGUUUCUAUUUCUGUAGUUUGCUUAUGGCUAGGGUGAACAUUGCAUAUUGCUUUACUCCAAUACACAAACAGAACAGAGGCAAAUUCUAACCCCUAUUUAUGCAGGGAUAACUAUAUUCAGACGGUCUGAGCUUGAAACAGCCUGUGAAGGUUUCAGCAACAUAAUUGGCACACUACCUGGAUUUACACUGUAUAAAGGAACUCUCCCCUGCGGAGCGGAAAUAGCUGUGGUGUCUACAAUGGUAGCUUACGCGGGAGGUUGGUCUGCUAUAGCUGAAGCACAUUUCAUGAACAAGGUAUAAGUUGGUUUUUCUCUCCCAUUCCUUUUCCAAACUGUAAGAGCUGGUUUUUGAGCAUGAUUAUACUUUGCAUUUCUAGGUGGAAGCAUUAUCAAAGGUAAACCAUAAGAAUCUUAUGAACCUUGUGGGUUACUGUGAAGAUGAAACACCAUUUAUUCGGAUGAUGGUGUUCGAAUAUGUUUCAAAUGGAUCACUAUUCGAGCGCUUGCAUGGUAAAUUCAAUUGUGAGCUACCUUUUUGUUUUAAGGGUACAUUGUGGGGUAUUGUGAGGCUGCAAAGACCUUGUUAUCUGUUAUUGACAGUCUUCACACUAGGGCUUAUGGAAUUAGCAACUGUUGACGUGAUAUUCAUAUUAGUAUUUUGCUAAGCACCAUCAAAACAUUGUUAUUGCAGUUAAAGAAGCCGAGCACUUGGAUUGGCAAUCGCGCCUACGGAUAGCUAUGGGAGUAGUGUACUGUCUGAGCUACAGGCACCAGCAGAACAUUCCUGUAACCCUAAGGAGUCUAAACAGUUCAUGCAUAUACUUGACUGAAGAUGAUGCCACAAAGGUUUCAGACAUCAGCUUUGGCGCUGGCAAGAAAGAAGAUGAAGAUGAAGAUGAAGAUGAUGCUCCUGAUGAGUACAGCACAGUGUAUAAGUUCGCUUUGCUACUACUUGAGACGAUCUCUGGAAGGCGUCCAUAUUCUGACGAUGAUGGCCUCCUUGUUCUAUGGUCACAGAGAUAUCUUAAUGGUGUUAGCCCCGUGAUGGGUAUGGUCGACCCAACGCUAAAUUCAGUCCCUGAGGAGCAUGUCAGGGCAUUCUCAGAGCUGAUUCGUUUAUGCAUAACCGAGGACCGAAGGCGGAGACCGACAAUGGCAGAGCUAACCAAGAGGAUGCAAGAAAUCACUGGGAUCACUCAAGAUCAGGCGAUUCCGAGGAAAAGUGCUCUGUGGUGGGCUGAACUUGAAAUCAUUUCGGCAUAGAGACAGUCAAUUGUGCUAACUUGCAGCAACUCUGCAAUUCUGACCAUUUGCUAGGAGAAAUAUAGAAGAUUGUACAGUUUAGUACUUUUAGGCAGGGCUUACAGUUGUACAGAUAUGCCUGAGUACGCCAUUCUUUCAUUCUUUUUUAUUUACCAAGCAUUCUUUCAUUCUUUGCUCUAUGAGGAGCAGAUAAAUCUUGGAAAACCUGUAAAGUUUAUACCAUUUCUUGUAUCAGUCAAAUAUGAGCAAAGUGAACACAUGCAUAUGUGUUCUCAGCAUUCCUACUGAAAAACAUUUGUUAAUUUCCACAGUUUUGAAAUCGAUACAUGUGGCAUGCCAAAGGCAAAUUGGCAAUCACCGGCUGGUUUUAUUGAAGGCGUGGAAUAUGAAAAGAAACAUGAAAACAGCCAUCCCUAAUAUGUGCAAUUUGGCUCUCACGUCGAUCAAAAGUGCCAUCAUCUUCUGUUAUUCCCCGCAUUGCUUCUCCGCGCGUUGGUGAGCCACGACUCGGACGGCGGCGACAACGGCGGCAUCUUGACCGACAUCGAGCGCAGCAUCGAGGCCCCUGGCUUACCGCUCCGCCUCUCCCUGCCGAUCCUUGGGCUGUCGCCGCCGUCCGUUCCAGAGCGGGUCAGCCUGCUCAGAGCCUUCCUUGCGUCGGCGCAGUACCUCUUGCUCGUGCCGAGGAGCGCCAUGCCCCACCCUGGAUUCGACCACUCCUUGCCACUGCCGCUCUUCUCAUCGUGCCAGCGCGACAGGCCGCUGUCGCGUAGCUUCCGCUCCUUCUCCAGGACAUCGCCUAGCGUGAUGCUCCGGCGAGGAGGAGAGGACGCGGCGGCAGAGACGACGUCGGCGCGCGGCGUCCGGGAACGCGCCGGGCUACGCUGGAAACCGAGGAGCACCGGCUUGGCGCUCCAGGGGACGAAGAACAUGAACCCGCACGCCCUCGGGGUCAUCCGGUCGCCUUGCGCGUCCUCGUUGACGCGCGGCGGGGGCUGCGCCUGUGCCGCUGCCGCGUCCGUGCACUGGCGCGGCAGGGUGUGUUUGGGCUGCUCGCGGGCGAGAGCGCGGCGCCGUAUGUGCGCGACGUCGUGCCUGGCUCUGGCCGGGGCCUCGGCGUCCUUGGCGUGCCUUGACUUGGAGCGCAGCAAGGGCGACCGCCUCCUCGGGUGCUUGUCCGCGGACGUGGUGGCGAUGGCAUUGGCGGCCGGGAGGAAGCGGUCCAUGAUGAAGCUCGGCGAGCGGCGCGAGCCGAAGACGCCGUCGAUGGCGCUCAGCCGUGCGGAGAGCGCGGCGAGCCGGUCGGAGGACGAGAUCCUGUCAAGAGCUUCGGAGAAGGUGUCGUCGUCAUGGACGCUGCUCGAGUCGGUGGUGUUGCUGUGGUGGCAGGCCCGCGCGCGGCACGGGCCGCCGCACCGCCCCGGCGGUGGCUUCGGCAGCAGCGGCACCUCCCGCUCCUUGCCUCCUCCGCCAGCACACGCCGCGCUCUUGGGCACGCCCGGCGAGCUCUCCCACUUGAACGGCACAUGGCCGCGCUGCGGGGACGCGUCGGCGCGGCCGCGGCGCGAGGCGGGCGACGCGUCGGCGGCCCGCCCGCAGCACGAGCGGCGCGGCGUCGGGAGCGGCGACUCGAGCAGCUGCGCGACGACGUGCCCGCUGCUGCCCUUCCGCCGCCUCCGGUGAUCGGGGCCAACGGUCACCGCGACGUCCAUUCCGCCGCCGCCCGCCGCUCCCCGUAAGCAGCAGCAACUACUACGGCGGCAUCGCAUGCACGCACCACCAACGCGGGAGGCGUAUAAAAGGCAGGCGCUGCGUGGUCCGGUGGUUGGAGAUCGAUAUGCGCGCGGGCGCGGGCACUGCUGGAGCGAAUCGGCAAAGGCUCUAGAGACGAUGGUGGUUGGGCGUUGGUCGGUUGGACCUCCAUGGAGUGAGCUCCCUACUUCUCGUGAAGGCGUUUAUAGGCCUCGAUGGAGGUUGCCGAAAGGGGAGCUGGCGCGCGCGGCGCGCUUGUGGCGAAAGGUUAUCUUAUUUGCAAGUGUGCACCUCCACGGCUCCACCACUUGCACAGCCGCUUGUUGAGCAGCUUUCGUUCAAAAUUUUGAAACUUUUGAUUAUGAAUGGUUUUCAAAGUAAGUGGUUCGGAAACAUAAAAAAAUCAUAUUCAUAGAUCAUCUUGAAAAAUACUUCCGUAACAUCAUAAAUUUAUUCUAUUUGUUAGCAUAUUAGAAUAGAUCAAUGGUGGUCAAAAUGUAAGAUGUGACUGGAUAAAGUAUUAUUUCGAUUGCUCUAACUACACAAGAGUUGAGCUACAGCUGAGAAUGUGCUGUCCAAUUCUAGAAGAGAAUUUGUGCUCGCUGUCGCUGAAGAUCGACGCUGUGGAUGCAGAACCGCAUAUAAUCCCAAGUGUUUUUAGACGAACAGAUCAGAUCCAGCACAGGACAUGACAGUAACAUUGGCAGUACAGGUACUGAAUCAGCGGCAGCAAAUUUUAGGUGAUGGUUUACGCGGGGACGAGGUGUUAAAUGCUGUUGCUGUUUGUGCUACUACUGACUUGACAACAUCCUACUGAGGUUAAUUAUCGUUUCUCAUUAUGUGUUACGGUGCUGACUUGACUAGUGUUUUAAUGCAUCAUGUACCUGUGAAAUCUCAGAACAACCUACUGGCUCCUACUUACAUAGUUACAUCCUGCAAGUGUGGUUUAACCAAGAGUGUUUAUUUCUGCUAUUUGUAUUGGGACACAGAAAUGUUCUUCUUUUCCUGAUUUUAAGUGGGCCGUCAGGCGCCACCGGUGCGUUCGGUGCAAAUCCAGCCCGCUAAAGCCCAAGGCCCAUCCUUUAAUGGCAGCUCAUUCGGCUUAUUCGCCACGGGGGGCGCACGUCUUGCUAAACACGAAGAAGCGCCGCUCUCCCCACCUUACCCCAAACCCCAACCAUGUCUGCCGCCGCCGAACCCGCCGCCGACCAAAACCCUAAGCCUAAGGACGCCAAGCCCCACGAGCCCACUGCCGAAGCCGGAGCCGAGUUCGCGGAGGAAGAGUACGAAGAGGAUGGAGAGGAGUACGAGGAGGAGGAGGAGGAGGAGCUGGACGGGCCCGCGGCCGCGGCGGCGGAGCGGGAGCGGGUGCAGUCCGUGUUCCGGAGGCUGUCGUCCGACCCCGUGGGCAUCCGCGUCCACGACGUGAUCAUCAAGGGCAACACCAAGACGCGGGAUGAGCUCAUCGAGGCGGAGGUCGCCGACCUGCUCCGCGCCGCCCCCACCGUGCAGGACCUGCUCCGGGCCGCCAGCGUCGCCACCGGCCGGCUGCACAGGCUCGACGUCUUCGACGCCGUCAAGAUCACGCUCGACGCGGGGCCACCCGAGCUGCCCGGCACCACCAACGUUGUCGUCGAGGUCGUCGAGGCCGCCAACCCCCUCACCGGUACCGCCGGCGUAUACUCGAAGCCCGAGGUGAGCUCUCUUCUUGGCUCGGUUGUAUAGAUAUUGCAUUGGGUGAUCAAAUUGAGUGUGGCUUGAGGCAUGAGGUAAUGGUUACCAAUACAGUGAGGUCCGGAUGGGGAUCUAGAUUCAUAGUCGUCAAUUCUAGUGGAAGUUUUUGAGAUCCUGUUUUUAUGUAACGAUGAACCUGAAGAGCGAUAUAAAUAAGUCUCUAAGUACAUGAAGUUUGUAAGAAGUGCAGCCAAUAGUUUGGCCAAUCUCUUGAUAAUGGAGGCCCAUUACUUCGUUUUCUUUGCUGAUAAAUACACUGGCAUGCUUUAGUGUUUAGCAUACCUUUUUUUAUUGUAUGCAUACCAAGUCCCGGUAACAUUUUUGCUCUUCCCUUGUGUUCAUUGGAUAUACCUUUUGCGAAUAUCAGACACUGAAUGGGGAAUAAUGGAAACAUCGGAGGAGAUUAUUUUCUUCAGUACCAAGUUCACUGGAUAAUUUACUUUCGUUCUGUAGUUGGACAUAUAAUUUCAUAAACAAUGUACUGCUCAAAAGUAGGGUUAUUGGUACUUAUCUGACAAUCCGUAGUUCUCAGAUAUACUCAUUGUAGUCACCAAAUUGUUCUACAGCAAGCAGCAAUUGUCUGUUAGUAGUUGAGCUUAAGUUAUUAUAAAUGGUUGUCAGUUGAUAGAAAUACAAAGAGCAUGUUUAUCUUUUCUUUCAGAACUUAAAGCUGUGGACUGAUGCUUGGUUUUUAGAGUUGGAGGUCAAAACCAUCCCAGUCCCAACAUGUUAGCCCAAAUAAGGCCAUAUGGCAAUUUUUCUGUCAGUUCAAGCGGUGAAUUCGCUUGUCGGAAUUAAGCAUAGAAUUGUUGAUGUUUUAUAUCAGUUUAUUUAAUAUAUAAUUGUGUUUUGUCCGUUUGCCCUUUGGCACAUCCUUAAUAUGCUCUAUACACUUCUUUAUUUUUUGGAAAACACUAGGACAGGAUCCUACAGCAUGUAUAGAUUAUAUGUUAGAAAAUAUGUGCAAAAAGGAAAAGGAACAAGGAGUAAGAAGAAAUGUAUUUACAGAAAAUUGUCUAGGAGCUGCUAAUGAAACUGUUGGCUUUGCUCUUUGGAUAACCAAGGAAAUUCUAUCAUGAAAUUCUUUUCUGGCCUUCCAUAUUGGAAUGUAGUACUUGAUUGAGAACCCUAUUGUUCCUUGUGAGCCAUAUGCUCCGUGCUCCCAAUACAAACACUACUGAAACUUGGUUAUAAACCUUUUUCCCAGAAACCAUAGAAAAGAUAUAAUUGCUGAGGUUGAGCAUAGGUUCCACUGGGUUCAAUGAAAAUAAAAGGUGAUUAGAUUGAAUUUAUUUUAUCAGGGAUAAGCCACUUAUCCUCGUAUUUUGGAAUCUCGUUAACUUUUUUUAAGAAAGUAAAUUUAAUCUUUUUCCAGGUUGUUAGCUCUUGUCACAUACCUAAUACAAACACUUAGUAUAAUGGAAUAUUUUUACUUUUCAAUAACUUUCUGUAAAUUUACUGGUGAAAAUGUUUACUGAGCUUGUAUUGUCAACAUCAUAAGAGGAGGAAAUGCUGAAUAAAACAAGAAAACCAUAGAAAAUGCAUUACAGCAUUUGAUAACUGUGUAGUGAAUUCCAAUAAAUCUUGCUACCUAAUUAAGAUGUUUGCACAACUGAUGCAUGACCCAAUGACUUGCUACUCUUGUAGGCAAGAUCUUGGUCGUUGGAAGGGUCACUUAAGUUGAAGAAUCCGUUCGGCUAUGGUGACAUCUGGGAUGCAUCAGGUUCCUAUGGUUGGGACCAAACAACAGAGGUUGGAGUUGGAAUCUACCUACCAAGGUUUAAAUCGAUACCAACACCGUUGAUGGCCCGGGCAUCUUUGUCAUCACAAGAUUGGCUGAAGUUUUCAUCAUACAAGGAGCGUCUACUUGGCCUUUCAUUUGGCUUGAUUUCAACAAUGAACCAUGACUUGUCUUACAACCUUACGUGGCGUACCUUAACUGAUCCGUCACGUGCCUCAUCUAAGGCUAUAAGGAGGCAGUUAGGGCAUAACCUUCUUUCUGCAUUGAAGUACACAUACAAGAUCGAUGAGAGGGAUUCACUUCUCAGGCCAACAAAAGGAUAUGCAUUUCAGUCAACUUCUCAAGUUGGUGGUCUAUGGGAUAACAAGGGCUUGAGAUUUUUUCGGCAGGUUAUACCCUCAUCCUUGUUUUUCAUAACUUUAAAUUUUUUGCUUGGCCCUCACAGUCUAUGUAUGAAGUAAUUGCAUCAAGUGUAUACUAUCCUAUAAUCAUCUCGGCUGUCACCAUCACUUUCUUACAUAAAUGCUAUUGUUGGCUUUGGUUCAGGAGUUUGAUGUUCGUGGCGCUGUGCCUUUGGGAUUUUAUAAUGCUGCUCUAAAUGUUGGCGUCGGAGCGGGUGUCAUUUUACCACUUGGAAGGGGGUUCAUGAAUUCGUCUUCACCUGUGCCUGAUAGGUUUUUCCUUGGAGGUCAUUCUUCUCCAGUUUGCAGCUUGAGCGGGCUGUCAUCCCUGCUGGGUUUUAAAACAAGAGGAGUUGGCCCAACAGAAGCACGGAGGCUUGUACCCAAUGAAUCAGACAGUGGCUCUGCUCCGGCUCCAGGAAGGGAUUACUUGGGAGGUGAUCUGGCUGUGUCUGCCUUUGCUGACCUUUCUUUUGAUCUGCCACUGAAGUUAUUCAGAGAUGCUGGAAUCCACGGUCAUGCAUUUCUGGCUGCUGGGAACCUUACGAAAUUGUCGGAGGGCGAGUACAAGAAUUUCUCAGUAUCUGAUUUUAAGCGCACAUUCAGGAGCUCUGCUGGUGCUGGCAUUAUUUUGCCUACUAAACUUUUCCGGGUGGAGGUACGUUCCCUUUCCCCUUUUCAACUCAUGGUUUCCAUAUUAGUAUAGAUAUCUGCUUGACUGCUUUGAGAUUAACAUCAUCUUUUCCAUCUUUAUCCAGGUGAAUUAUUGUUACAUUCUGAAGCAAGCUGAGCAUGACAGUGGAAAGACCGGAAUCCAGUUCAGCUUCUCCUCACCCAUGUAGAAACCUGCCAUGAAAUGUUUUGCAGCUGAAGUAGCUUUUCUUCCCUCACCCCUGUAGACUUGCGUUCUCCAUUGUUCUUUUCUUACUGAAGCAAUUGCAAAACGAUCGUAGUCGCAUAUCAUUGGGUUUUCUUUUGACGCUCGUUGUUGGGUGUGAGGAGCAUGAACCUAGACUUGCUCCUUCUUUUUGGUGUCUUGAGUUACUCCCCUCUUCUGACACGAAGGAUUUGUCCUUCACAACUCAAAUACUGCAAUGGUGGAUAGAAUAAAUUUUGGGCCAAGAAUGUUUUACACCAGUUCAAUUAUGCCCUCCUUUCGCAUUGUAAGUACACUUUUGAGAUCUUGUGUGCUUGUGGUUACUGGUUAGUCGUGUAUGUCCAGCAAUAGGCAUUAGCACAUCAGAUGGUUGAAAUGCACCAGAAUCCUUUCGCAUUGUAAUAACGCUUUGAGGUCUUGUGCUUGUGGUUAGUCGUGUCUGUCCGGCAUAGGCAUUGGCACAUCAGAUGGUUGAAAUGCACCAGAACCUCAAUGAUCCGGGUCCUUCGCACAUAUAAACCUCACUUGUAUCCUGAAGUGAAACGAUGAGCAGAAGUUGCAUCUGUUGCUAAUUGCUCUGCUGCUUAUUGCAAUAAGGACAUGUUACUCAUGACUAUGGUUGCAUGGUUCUGGUCGUGUUGUCUAUAUAAAAGUAAAAGACGUUGCUCGUUCUGCUCUAAUUGGGCAAUCCUCGCUCCUGUUAAAAUUGUAGUCUUACAGUACAGGUAACCACUUUCAGAACUACCACUCCUGAAAUUGUAGUUUUGCAGGUAGUCACCCACUUUCGGAACUACGUACCACCCAUUUUGGCCGCGCUAUUGAUCGAUGUCACCUUCCCAGGCGCUGGGUGGCCUGUGUUCUGAACGGAAUGCCAAUUCUGGCGGAGACGUGGAGCGCUUGAUUUCGGCGCACUCCUUCCGCACCAGCUCCAAUGCGGCCCCCAAGGCGCACCAGCUCCUCGGCCCCGACGCAGUGUGUUGGCCCUCUCCAGUCCGGGUGUGACUCAGAACAUGACGUCCGGUGGCGACGGAGGACGAGUCCACGAAGGCGCCAUCGGCGAAGUUCGAGAUGCGGUUGUUCGCCGAGCGGGACGCCCAGGUGCCGAGCUAGUCAUAUGCGUGGCGAGCGCUUUCUCGUCGAGGCUCGGAGGCGGGCUGCCACUGCCCAGCAGCUUGCGUAACGUAGAGGAAACGCGAAACGGAGGUCGAGGAGCUGGUGCGCGUAGUGCUGCAGGUUUGACAAAAGGAAAUAAAUAGAUACUCUUUAUAAAAAAAAAGAUAGAUACUAGUUUAUUUGGCACCAAUUUUUUUUCCGCAAAGUUUGGCUGGUUUGAGACUUGAGUCCAUGCGGUAGAUUUGGCACACCACAGCUUUGCGUCACUCGUCACAUCCCACAAGAAGCAUGGCCUGCCACAAUCACAACUAAUUAAGGGGUGUUUGGAUACAAGUUACUAAAUUUUAGCAGUGUCACAUCGGAUGUUCAAAUGCUAAUUAGAAGAACUAAAUAUGAGCUAAUUACAAAACUAAUUGCACAGAUGGAGUCUAAUUCCCGAGACGAAUCUAUUAAGGCUAAUUAAUCCAUUAUUAGCAAAUGAUUACUGUAGCACUGCAUUGUCAAAUCAUGGACUAAUUAGGCUUAAUAGAUUCGUCUCGCGAAUUAGACUCCAUGUGUGCAAUUAGUUUUGUAAUUAGACUAUAUUUAUUACUCCUAAUUAGUAUCAAACAUCCGAUGUGAUAUGUGUUAAAGUUUAGCAAAGGGUAUCCAAACAUAUGCCAUGUCCCAGGCACAGGGAUCAUCCCAUCUCGCCCAGUAAAUUCAACGGAUCAAUCAAAGUUCCCUGCCGCCAGCCAACAACGAGAAACCACCCGGACGCCCAGGAAAAGAGGCGAAAACGACGACACGCCGCAGGAACCAGGGCAGGGGAUGACCGCCGCACAGAGAUCCUAGAUUCCCAGCCCGCCCUGACGCUACGCUGUUCGGCAGAGCAAUCGCGUGCCGUGCCAGUCAGCCAGUGCCACCGAUGGGCCCAGCAAGCCCGCAGGCUCACCGGCCAGUUCGGUGGCGCUGCCGCCGGUGGCCGUGUAGACGGGCACGAUCCACAGCGGGCGCGUGCAGGAGGACCCAAGGCGGAGGCAAAGGCACGGCAGCGCAGCAGGAGCCCGGUGACAGGUCGAGGACGAUCUGCCUGGGCGAACACUGGACAUGUUGGGGUGGGUGGCUGGGAGCCAUGUGACGUGAGACCAUGUCACGCCAGCUGUGGGAAGCGAGGAACAGCAUCGUGCACAUACUCAUGAUAAAAGGACAAUUGAUUUAUAUAAUACUCCCUCCAUCCCAAAUUAUAGGUCGUUUUAGCAUUUCUAUAUGCAUAAUAUUUGCUAUACACCUAGAUAUAGCAUAUAGACUAGCAUAUGUCUAUAUGCAUAAUAAUAUCUAUGAACUAAAAAACUAAAACGACCUACAAUUUGGAAUGGAACGGAAGGAGUAGAGUAAUAGACGCUCUGACAAACGCAAACCAAAAGUUGCAAUGGCGUCGCAGCAUCGGGUAAAACAGAAUAGGACCAUAGAACAUGAAAACAUAUCAAAAGGUUUACAAGGAAAAAGGGAGCACAUAAAGGACAUUCAAAGGGUGUUUAGCCGAGGGAUUGACCUUAGGCAUUCUCGGAAUCUUUUUCAAAUCUAAGAUAAACCCAACAAAUUUGAACCAGAACUCCCCUAUCAAACGAGCCACCAUGCAUGCUAUACACUUCUUUUUCUUGUAGAUAUUUUCUCAGCAUAAAACAGAAUGUGCAACUCCAGGCCAUCAGCCAGCCAUGAAUACAUGAGCAUAACUAUAGCAACACACAUAUUAUCUCCAGCAGUAUAACAUGUCAUAAGUCAACUAAAUAGUGGGUAAGGCUCAGCAACAACCCUCUGAAAUAGGUAAGCACAGUAAUGACAGCACUGGAAGACUAGACAGAAGCGGCGUGAUCUGAAACACCCCUUAGCCACUAUAGUGUGCUGUGUGCGUAGCCAAAAUUUGCUGAACUCAUAAGCUAACAAAAUAAGUUAGGCGAAAAGACGACAGAGAGUGACUAAUAAGUAAACCAGUUAAUAAGAAACAGAAUUUAGCUUUCAUAUCCUAUGAUAAGAUAAACACGAGAGAAGAUCUUUCUGCAACCAGCGUGCCUCAUUGGCUGGUAAGGGUAGGCACAGAGCAGCAGCAAACAGCAAACUGGCAAAAGUCUGUAUGAUUCGUUGGACCAAUAUUUUAGCUUGAGUUCAAUGCUCAAUAGAAUUAGAAGCUAUCCGCAAACAAUAUUCAGGGGUCCAUGUGUUAUUUCUGAACUAGAGACUGAUUUGGUGAUUUCAUUGAGUACAGAUUUGCACAUACAAUUUACUAUCAAGGAAAAUACAGAUCUGCACAUACAAUUUACUAUCAAGGAAAAUUCAUCUGAUGGCAAACGUCAGGUUUCCUCAGUAUGCAUGGUGAUCGCACAAAUCGAACAGGUCGGAAGGAACUAAGGCAACCAGCUCCACUCUACCUAGUAAACUAGUAAAGAGGAAGAACUUCAUACCACACUGAGCAGAUAUUACCUAGCAAAGAGGUAAAAAGGCUAAACUGUGAACAGCACUGCAAGCAAAUUAGAACAUUGCUCCAAC